GGCUGGUCUGAGUGCAGUAGUGUAUACAGCUAACUGAUUACAACUAGUUACAGAUUUCUUUGUUUCUUCACUCCCACUGCUUCACCUGACUAGCUUUAA
ensembl:Y_RNA Y_RNA Y RNA